rnacentral:rRNA from 1 species
CAGUCGCCACGGUAAUACGAAGGGUGCAAGCGUUAAUCGGAAUUACUGGGCGUAAAGCGUGCGUAGGCGGACUUUUAAGUCAGAGGUGAAAUCCCAAGGCUCAACCUUGGAACUGCCUUUGAUACUGGAAAUCUUGAGUCCGGGAGAGGUGAGUGGAACUGCGAGUGUAGAGGUGAAAUUCGUAGAUAUUCGCAAGAACACCAGUGGCGAAGGCGGCUCACUGGCCCGGUACUGACGCUGAGGCGCGAAAGCGUGGGGAGCAAACAGGAUUAGAUACCCCCGUAGUCCCUGUCUCUUAUAC